GUCCCCACUGGGAUGGAGAUGAAGCUCCCUGCUUUCCUGCACCGUCUCACACCUCCCUCGAGUCCCUCUCCGGACUCUGUGCUCUGGGAAACACAUCUGAAACCACCAGCCAGUUAAAUAAGAGUUAAUUUGUCCAUGACUGAUUCCUUCCAGCUUCUUUGUUCAGAGAAGAUGCUGGC
rnacentral:lncRNA from 1 species